UAUAGCAGUGUUUGUUCAUGAUAGGUUAAUAUUCGGCACCUGUUAAAAUUAGUCAUCUAAUUAAUGGUGGUUGUAGUCAUAGCAUUUGCCUGUUUGGAUAUGUUAUUUAAUUUAAGAGACAUCUUGAGGCACCCUAAAGGUGAAACAUCCUGAUUUCUCUGUGGAGAAACAAUAAUUAAAUGGAUCUCCCUGUGUAUGCAUGUGAAUACAGCACAUAUGCUUACAUAAGAUAGGCAGAGAGAGAUGCCUAUAACUAGUGUUAGAUCGUCUGUGACCUUAGCUUUAGUAGGUAUUAUUAAUGUUAAUAGCAGCAGCAUUGGUGAGUAUAAUUUCAACCUGUUUAAAGAUCAAGAACUUUUGCAGCUCUGAUGAGUCCUCAUG
rnacentral:misc_RNA from 1 species